GCCCCCCCCACCCUAAAGCUUCCCCCCCCACCUGAAAACCAACCCCCCCGGCCCUAUAGCGCCCCCAUCCCCCGCCAUCCCCUGCGCUGGGCCGUAUCCCCCCCCCCCCGCUGACCCCAAAUACCGGCCGUGCCUUGUCCCCACCCCCGGCCCCAUAUGGGCUGUGCCCUGUCCCGGUUCCGACCCCAUAAAGGCCGUGCCUUGUCCCGGUUCCGUCCCCCCACAUGGGCUGUGCUUUGUCCCGGUUCGGUCCCCAUAUCGUCCGUGCCCUGUCCCGGUUCCGACCCCAUAAAGGCCGUGCCUUGUCCCGGUUCCGUCCCUAUAUCGGCCAUGCCUUGCCCCGGUUCCGACCCCAAAUGGGCCGUGCCCUGUCCCGGUUCCGACCCCAUAAGGGCCGUGCUUGGUCCCGGUCCCAAAUGGGCCAUGCCUUGUCCCGGUUCUGCCCCUAUAUCGCCCGUGCCUUGUCCCGGUUCCGUCACCCCACAUGGGCUGUGCUUUGUCCCGGUUCGGUUCCCAUAUCGGCUGUGCCUUGGUCCGGUUCCGUCCCCCCAUAAAAGCCGUGCUUGGUCCCGGUUCCGACCCCACAAAGGCCGUGCCUUGUCCCGGUUCUGUCCCCAAAUGGGCCGUGCUUUGUCCCGGUUCCGACCCCAUAAAGGCCGUGCCUUGUCCCGGUUCUGUCCCCAAAUGGGCCGUGCCUUGUCCCGGUUCCGACCCCAUAAAGGCCGUGCUUGGUCCCGGUUCGGUCCCCGGUCCCGGUUCCGUCCCCAUAUCAGCCGUGCCCCCCCCAUGUCUGUACCCCCCCUUUCGGGCCGUGCCUUGGCCCGGUUCGGUCCCCAUACGGGCCACGUCUUGUCCCGGUUCCGACCCCCCAUAUGGGCCGUGCCUUGGCCCGGUUCCGUCCCAUAUCAGCCGUGCCCCCCCCCCCAUAAUGACAAGGUCCCGGUCCCGGUUCCGGUUGGGGUUUAUUGGGGGGGUCCCGUCCGGGCUGUUCGCUCCCGAACCCAAUAA
rnacentral:lncRNA from 1 species